CAUUUUGCCACUUGCACAGCAGUGGCAAGGGAGGCCUGAGGAGGUAGGAGAGUUGGAGGUGGUGGAACCUGCAGGGUGUCCUCACCACUUCCACGUUUGCUAGUUCACCACCUGAGGCAGCUGCCUCAUCAAGGCUCAUUAGAGGGCUGUCCUUGAGCCAGGAUAAUGAAACUGGCUCUCUAAGACCUAAUCGCAGAUAUGGGAAACCAUGGAGUUCACGGAUAACAAGGGCCACUUGUACCAUCCAAUAAAGUUUUCAGUCUCCUUAAGGGCCUGGGAAGAUACACAAUACGGGGUAUAUGAAGGGUUGUGCUGCCUAAGGCAUUUUGGCUGGGGCUGAGGAAGAAGAAGGCUGCUGUCUCAUAUGUACCCCAAAGCAUUGUAGGCAUCUCUGAAGAUCAUCUGCAUGCUCAAUAGAUUAUAGCUCUGUAGCA